CAGAGGAAGAAAGAGAAGCAGACUCUCCGCCAAGAUGGGAGCCCAAUGCGAGGCUUGAUCUGAGGACCCUGGGACCAUGACCUAAGCCGAAGGCAGCCACUUAACAGACUGAGCCACCCAGGGACCUCUCAGCUGUACUUCGGAGAUGGUCGCAGAGUCCAACUGCUCUUCACCAUCUGCAUCUCCAAACCCAGUCCCACCAUUAUGCUUUUUUGUGUAUUGCUGCGUUAGCCUCCUAAGCAGUCCUCCUGUGGUCUUUGUCCUGCUUCAGUCUGUUCUCAAUAUAAUCCGUAUAAUAUUUGUCACAGUGGUUAUUUUCACACUUGUGUUAGAGCACAUCGCUCAUUUAAAACCCUCCAAAGGCUUCCAAUGUCACUCCAGGCUAUCAGAUUUACUCGUUUCUGCCUGCAGCUUCUAGCCACAUUCUCUUAGCCUCUUCUAGUCCACUGAUGCCUGGGAAACCACACACAGGCGUCUAAGGACAGAACGUCUCAGAGAAACUCCAAGCAAUUUCUAUAACAGAUGAGCCUUUAUGGAUAGAUUCUGAGGCACCAUAUCAGCUACUCAUAGUCCUUUGAUUCUUUAUAUUUUGCUGUUUACAAUAUUAUAGUAUAAACAUAAAUAUUCCAGUUACA